rnacentral:rRNA from 1 species
CCUACGGGGGGCAGCAGUGGGGAAUAUUGGACAAUGGGGGCAACCCUGAUCCAGCCAUGCCGCGUGUGUGAAGAAGGCCCUCGGGUUGUAAAGCACUUUCAGUGAGGAAGAACGCCUGGUGGUUAAUACCCAUCAGGAAAGACAUCACUCACAGAAGAAGCACCGGCUAACUCCGUGCCAGCAGCCGCGGUAAUACGGAGGGUGCGAGCGUUAAUCGGAAUUACUGGGCGUAAAGCGCGCGUAGGUGGCUUGAUAAGCCGGUUGUGAAAGCCCCGGGCUCAACCUGGGAACGGCAUCCGGAACUGUCAAGCUAGAGUGCAGGCGAGGAAGGUAGAAUUCCCGGUGUAGCGGUGAAAUGCGUAGAGAUCGGGAGGAAUACCAGUGGCGAAGGCGGCCUUCUGGACUGACACUGACACUGAGGUGCGAAAGCGUGGGUAGCAAACAGGAUUAGAUACCCCAGUAGUU